rnacentral:rRNA from 1 species
AACAGGAUUAGAUACCCUGGUAGUCCACGCCGUAAACGAUGUCGACUUGGAGGUUGUGCCCUUGAGGCGUGGCUUCCGGAGCUAACGCGUUAAGUCGACCGCCUGGGGAGUACGGCCGCAAGGUUAAAACUCAAAUGAAUUGACGGGGGCCCGCACAAGCGGUGGAGCAUGUGGUUUAAUUCGAUGCAACGCGAAGAACCUUACCUGGUCUUGACAUCCACGGAAUUUGGCAGAGAUGCCUUAGUGCCUUCGGGAACCGUGAGACAGGUGCUGCAUGGCUGUCGUCAGCUCGUGUUGUGAAAUGUUGGGUUAAGUCCCGCAACGAGCGCAACCCUUAUCCUUUGUUGCCAGCGGUCCGGCCGGGAACUCAAAGGAGACUGCCAGUGAUAAACUGGAGGAAGGUGGGGAUGACGUCAAGUCAUCAUGGCCCUUACGACCAGGGCUACACACGUGCUACAAUGGCAUAUACAAAGAGAAGCGACCUCGCGAGAGCAAGCGGACCUCAUAAAGUAUGUCGUAGUCCGGAUUGGAGUCUGCAACUCGACUCCAUGAAGUCGGAAUCGCUAGUAUUCGUGGAUCAGAAUGCCACGGUGAAUACGUUCCCGGGCCUUGUACACACCGCCCGUCACACCAUGGGAGUGGGUUGCAAAAGAAGUAGGUAGCUUAACCUUCGGGAGGGCGCUUACCACUUUGUGAUUCAUGACUGGGGUGAAGUCGUAACAAGGUAACC